ACGAACGCUGGCGGCGUGGAUAAGACAUGCAAGUCGAACGAGAGAAUUGCUAGCUUGCUAAUAAUUCUCUAGUGGCGCACGGGUGAGUAACACGUGAGUAACCUGCCCCCGAGAGCGGGAUAGCCCUGGGAAACUGGGAUUAAUACCGCAUAGUAUCGAAAGAUUAAAGCAGCAAUGCGCUUGGGGAUGGGCUCGCGGCCUAUUAGUUAGUUGGUGAGGUAACGGCUCACCAAGGCGAUGACGGGUAGCCGGUCUGAGAGGAUGUCCGGCCACACUGGAACUGAGACACGGUCCAGACACCUACGGGUGGCAGCAGUCGAGAAUCAUUCACAAUGGGGGAAACCCUGAUGGUGCGACGCCGCGUGGGGGAAUGAAGGUCUUCGGAUUGUAAACCCCUGUCAUGUGGGAGCAAAUUAAAAAGAUAGUACCACAAGAGGAAGAGACGGCUAACUCUGUGCCAGCAGCCGCGGUAAUACAGAGGUCUCAAGCGUUGUUCGGAAUCACUGGGCGUAAAGCGUGCGUAGGCUGUUUCGUAAGUCGUGUGUGAAAGGCGCGGGCUCAACCCGCGGACGGCACAUGAUACUGCGAGACUAGAGUAAUGGAGGGGGAACCGGAAUUCUCGGUGUAGCAGUGAAAUGCGUAGAUAUCGAGAGGAACACUCGUGGCGAAGGCGGGUUCCUGGACAUUAACUGACGCUGAGGCACGAAGGCCAGGGGAGCGAAAGGGAUUAGAUACCCCUGUAGUCCUGGCAGUAAACGGUGCACGCUUGGUGUGCGGGGAAUCGACCCCCUGCGUGCCGGAGCUAACGCGUUAAGCGUGCCGCCUGGGGAGUACGGUCGCAAGAUUAAAACUCAAAGAAAUUGACGGGGACCCGCACAAGCGGUGGAGUAUGUGGUUUAAUUCGACGCAACGCGAAGAACCUUACCAAGUCUUGACAUCCCUUGACGAACAUAGAAAUAUGUUUUCUCUUCGGAGCAAGGAGACAGGUGGUGCAUGGUUGUCGUCAGCUCGUGUCGUGAGAUGUUGGGUUAAGUCCCGCAACGAGCGCAACCCCUGUUGCCAGUUGCCAGCAUUAAGUUGGGGACUCUGGCGAGACUGCCCAGAUCAACUGGGAGGAAGGUGGGGACGACGUCAGGUCAGUAUGGCCCUUAUGCCCAGGGCUGCACACGUACUACAAUGCCCAGUACAGAGGGGGCCGAAGCCGCGAGGCGGAGGAAAUCCUAAAAACUGGGCCCAGUUCGGACUGUAGGCUGCAACCCGCCUACACGAAGCCGGAAUCGCUAGUAAUGGCGCAUCAGCUACGGCGCCGUGAAUACGUUCCCGGGUCUUGUACACACCGCCCGUCACAUCAUGGAAGCCGGUCGCACCCGAAGUAUCUGAAGCCAACCGCAAGGAGGCAGGGUCCUAAGGUGAGACUGGUAACUGGGAUG
rnacentral:rRNA from 1 species